AUUGAACGCUGGCGGCAGGCCUAACACAUGCAAGUCGAGCGGGGUUUUCGGACCUAGCGGCGGACGGGUGAGUAAUGCGUAGGAAGCUGCCCGAUAGAGGGGGAUACCAGUUGGAAACGACUGUUAAUACCGCAUAAUGUCUACGGACCAAAGUGUGGGACCUUCGGGCCACAUGCUAUCGGAUGCGCCUACGUGGGAUUAGCUAGUUGGUGAGGUAAUGGCUCACCAAGGCGACGAUCUCUAGCUGGUUUGAGGACGAUCAGCCACACUGGAACUGAGACACGGUCCAGACGCCUACGGGAGGCAGCAGUGGGGAAUAUUGGACAAUGGGCGCAAGCCUGAUCCAGCCAUGCAGCGUGGGUGAAGAAGGCCUUCGGGUUGUAAAGCACUUUCAGCGAGGAGGAAGGGUGGUGUGUUAAUAGCACAUCAUUUUGACGUUACUCGCAGAAGAAGCACCGGCUAACUCUGUGCCAGCCGCCGCAGUAAAAC
rnacentral:rRNA from 1 species